UACGGGGGGGGCAAGCGUUGUUCGGAAUUACUGGGCGUAAAGGGCUCGUAGGCGGCCAUCUAAGUCGGACGUGAAAUCCCUCGGCUUAACCGAGGAACUGCCUGUCAAACUGCAUGGCUUGAGACCGGGAGAGGUGAGUGGAAUUCCCAGUGUAGCGGUGAAAUGCGUAGAUAUUGGGAGGAACACCAGUGGCGAAGGCGGCUCACUGGACCGGUACUGACGCUGAUGCGCGAAAGCGUGGGGAGCAAACAGG
rnacentral:rRNA from 1 species